UCCCCCUUUCUCUCAAACUCUCUCUCAGUCUCUCUCAGAAGCCCAAGCCGCCUCCUUCCAUUUCCGCUCUAAAAGCCACUGAAAUCCAUGGCUUCCAGGGCCAUUAAAGUCCUACACCGACCUCCUAUAGCUCUUGCACGCGUGGUUAUUGUAGUUUCAAGGCUUUUCCACAGAAAAGCUUGGCCCGGACCUUGUUUGACUCGAGUUCUAUGGCCGUCUCCGACCUUGCUCUGGCCAGCCAUUGCCAUUCGAGCCUGAUCACGAC
rnacentral:lncRNA from 1 species